rnacentral:lncRNA from 1 species
AACACCGCCUGGGCCCUGCUCUCCUGAAGCUUACCAGAUGAAGCAGGGCAUUUGGGGGUCCCAAGACAAAAGGGGCAAAAUGAAGAAGGAGGCUAAAAUUGCCCAGAGGCCUCACCAGGUCAAGCCCCUCAGCUGUCUGGCCACGCCCCUCUUCCUAAGACUUCUAAGCUCUUCACAAGGUUG